rnacentral:lncRNA from 1 species
UGUUUAUACAGAGACCCGAGACCAGACCCUGCAUUUGCAUAAACAUUUGCACGUUCAUUGUGUAUCGAGGCAUUGCGGUUUUGGGUGUCCAGUGCCGUCUCGUUUCGUCUCGUUUCGUCUCGUCUCGUCUCGUAUUGUAUCAUGUGGAUGGAUGGCUGAGAAGACCCUCGCAGAGGCGCUUCCAUUUUCAAGGGUUUGCCUUGUCUGGCAGCUCGGAUUUUCCGUUUGCAACAUUGAACUUGAGAGCUCUCCCCGAUCUCUACGAUUUGCUGUGGCUGUUCAGGUGUUGCCGGAGUCAAGUGCUGCCGGAUCUGGAUAUGUUGUUGUAGCUCUAGCUCUAGCUGUAGCUGUAUCUGGAUCUGGUGCAUAAAUCAUGCGCGUCCGAUGAUAUCACGUGUUAUAAUUAGAACGAUGCAUUUUCACUUUUCACAUCCCCAACAUCGCGCGAUCAAAUGUCCGUAUCCGCAUAGGGCUGGCCAACUUGACAGCUGAAAAUCGUGAUAUUUGAUGAUAGCACGAAUGGAGGGGGAAGAGGGGGAGCAGCGACACCCCAUCGAGCCAUCGAUGGAACGAACCAAUGCCCGUAAAGUGUCGUUCAUUAUGACCUCCUGGUUGCAUUUGUUGUUGCCGGAUUGCCAUGCUUCUUGUUACAAAGUAAUUGCUGGCGGCUCUUUAAAAUAUGCACCAGCGAUACUGUCAAUAGUCUGAGAGUAUCUCUGGCCCGCUGGCCCACUCCAACUUAGAACUGGAGACUCCAGUGGCCAGCAGGUUGGCCAUGAGAACAUGUUAUUAAAUUACUGUAAUAAUGUAUUAGCUAUGUAAGAAUGCUACAAAUGUUAAUAUGUAAUAAUAAUUGUAAUAGCUUCUUGUUGUUGUUGCUAAUCUACUCGACUUUGGUCCGCAGUCCGCGGGAGGGUGCCACUACGCACCUUGCUACGAGUCGGAACUCGCAUUUGACAUUUUCAUGUUCAAUUCCAUGAAAAGGAAUUACACAUGUAUUUAUGUGUGUGACUGAGUGACUAAUACACUUGCACAUGGGGGCGGUCCAUAUCCAUAUCCAUGCGUCACCUCAGGCUGGCACUGGGCGGGGUUUGAGCUUCAGCUUCCCUUUUGGAUCGAAAAUAGAUGCACAAAUAGAAGCCCAAGGGAUGUUCCAUGCCUAUAAAUAAAUUUCUUCAUGAAUGUUUAGUACAUCCCUUAAUUAUAUGCAAACAUUCUGUUGGUUGGCUUUGGUGGCUUUCGUCAAGACUCAACUCAAUGUAUGAAUAUGUUAAUUAAUUUUUUUGCCACUCUUUAUUCAAAAAUUGUUACUGGUUGCGCGGCGUUCCCGGUGCGCAUUUGCUUUCUUCUCUGCGUCGUCGAUGAUUAUUUUGGGAGUUAUGCAAUCAACAUUUCUACUAUAAUAACAACAAAUUGGGGGGCAGAGUGUCAAGGAUGUGCAUAUCCAGUUCUGAUUGUCUCCGCAUUUGAUGAGAAUUUAUUUGUGUGGUGUGCGUUUUUUGGUGUUUCUUUUCUGGCAACGAGUUAAACUUGUAAGUAAACUUUGUCGGCGUUGUGCAAUUAAUUAAUAUUGUUUAUAAAUUGUCUCAACUGAUGUCGAACAAUUGCGUGUGUCGUGUUUUUUGGGGUUCUAUUGGCAUUAAAUGCUCUAAUUUAUGGCAGAGCUAAUGUCAAAAAGUGCUGCUUUGACAGCUAAAUUAGCAUUUUGUCUGCCAUUUCCCAGCACUGACUGUGGCUUCAUUUUCUAUAUUUACACAAUUGCCAACGAGUCUCUGCAGCCAGACGCUG